rnacentral:tRNA from 1 species
GGAUUGUAGCUCAGUGGUAGAGCAUUUGCCUCGAAUGUGUGAAGCUCUGGGUUCAAUCCCCAGCACCA